GUGCCAGCAGGCCGCGGUAAUACGUAGGGGGCGAGCGUUAUCCGGAAUUAUUGGGCGUAAAGAGUGCGUAGGUGGUUACCUAAGCGCAGGGUUUAAGGCAAUGGCUCAACCAUUGUUCGCCUUGCGAACUGGGCUACUUGAGUGCAGGAGAGGAAAGCGGAAUUCCUAGUGUAGCGGUGAAAUGCGUAGAUAUUAGGAGGAACACCAGUGGCGAAGGCGGCUUUCUGGACUGUAACUGACACUGAGGCACGAAAGCGUGGGGAGCAAACAGG
rnacentral:rRNA from 1 species